rnacentral:rRNA from 1 species
GAUGAACGCUGGCGGCGUGCCUAAUACAUGCAAGUCGAGCGAACGGACGAGAAGCUUGCUUCUCUGAUGUUAGCGGCGGACGGGUGAGUAACACGUGGAUAACCUACCUAUAAGACUGGGAUAACUUCGGGAAACCGGAGCUAAUACCGGAUAAUAUUUUGAACCGCAUGGUUCAAAAGUGAAAGACGGUCUUGCUGUCACUUAUAGAUGGAUCCGAGCUGCAUUAGCUAGUUGGUAAGGUAACGGCUUACCAAGGCAACGAUGCAUAGCCGACCUGAGAGGGUGAUCGGCCACACUGGAACUGAGACACGGUACAGACUCCUACGGGAGGCAGCAGUAGGGAAUCUUCCGCAAUGGGCGAAAGCCUGACGGAGCAACGCCGCGUGAGUGAUGAAGGUCUUCGGAUCGUAAAACUCUGUUAUUAGGGAAGAACAUAUGUGUAAGUAACUGUGCACAUCUUGACGGUACCUAAUCAGAAAGCCACGGCUAACUACGUG